CAGCAGCCGCGGUAAUACAGAGGGUGCGAGCGUUAAUCGGAUUUACUGGGCGUAAAGCGUGCGUAGGCGGCUUCUUAAGUCGGAUGUGAAAUACCUGAGCUUAACUUAGGAAUUGCAUUCGAUACUGGGAAGCUAGAGUAUGGGAGAGGAUGGUAGAAUUCCAGGUGUAGCGGUGAAAUGCGUAGAGAUCUGGAGGAAUACCGAUGGCGAAGGCAGCCAUCUGGCCUAAUACUGACGCUGAGGUACGAAAGCAUGGGGAGCAAACAGGAUUAGAUACCCCUGUAGUCCCUGUCUCUUAUAC
rnacentral:rRNA from 1 species